rnacentral:rRNA from 1 species
UUCGCAAUGCCCGAAAGGGUGACGAAGCGACGCCGCGUGUGGGAAGAAGGCCUUCGGGUUGUAAACCACUGUCGGGAGUUAAGAAAUGUAAGGGUGUUAAUAGCGCCUUUACUUGACAAAGGCUCCGGAGGAAGCCACGGCUAACCCUGUGCCAGCAGCCGCGGUAAUACAGAGGCGGCAAGCGUUGUUCGGAAUUAUUGGGCGUAAAGAGCACGUAGGCGGCUUUGCAAGUCAGUUGUGAAAGCCUUCCGCUUAACGGAAGAACGGCAGCUGAUACUACAGAGCUUGAGUACGGGAGGGGAGAGUGGAACUUCUGGUGGAGCGGUGAAAUGCGUAGAUAUCAGAAGGAACGCCGGCGGCGAAAGCGAUUCUCUGGUCCGAAACUGACGCUGAGUGUGCGAAAGCUAGGGGAUCAAACGGGAUUAGAUACUCCGGUAGUCCUAGCCGUAAACGAUGGGCACUAAGUAGAGGGGUUUU